UGCUAGGCUGCAGGCUACAAAUUGAAGGAAAAAAGACUGCGCGGUCUUUCGAUGAUGAACACGACAUGCGGCAGUAGCAUGAAGCGAUCUCAGACAGUUUGUUUCAAACUGUUGCUCUCUGUCAACAGUGUGCAAGGCUCAGUGGAACCUUUGGCAACAUGUCAUGGAGGUGUGAAAUGAGAUAUGAAGAAAAACCAGGACAGGAUGAAGAACUGCCGCAUAUAUAAGGUGGCUGUGGCGUUGAUUCAUUAAGAUGAGAAACGAGAUCCAGAAGAUGAUGUAGAAGUGAUGGGGAGGGCAAAGGACAUCUCAAUGGAUUGAUGGACGGAAUGUGAGGAGAGUGCUUGCUGGCUGAAAAUGGUGUCUGUGCUAUGAUAUGAAGAAAAACCAGGACAGGAUGAAGAACUGCCGCAUAUAUAAGGUGGCUGUGGCAUUGAUUCAUUAAGGUGAGAUGUUCCCUUCACUGCUGAGGUUGAACAGGAGGGUCCUCCGGUUUGUACUGCUGCUGGAGCUGUGAUGAUUUCACGUUUUUGCCGUUUACCCAUCAGACCAGACUGGUGUGUUGACACUGACUAUCUGAGUCUCCAGCAACAGCACUUAUUCACUCUGUCAAGAGCUGGUCUUGGGCCCAGACUUAAGAGGGUAGAUUUUUUUUUUUUUUUUUUUUCUUUUCCAGCUCUUCCCUCUUAAUGAACCGCAUAUCUGACAUGCAUGUUUUUGUUUCACAGAAGAUGCCAAAUGAGGAUGUGUGAAGAUGCCUCUCCAGCCGUGAUCAAUGUUAAAUGUUGCUGCUUAAUUUUAUGCAGGAUUUCAUUUUACUCAAUCAUAUAAUGAUGUACAAAGUCUUGAUUAACUUGAUUUUUUUAAAAUGAUACAUUUCAUUACAUUGAAUUACCUGCUAAUUUCUGUAUAAAGAUGUUUCUUGGGAGCCUUUGGUCUUUGUCUUCAUUUCAUGUCUUC